UACGAAGGGGGCUAGCGUUGUUCGGAAUUACUGGGCGUAAAGCGCACGUAGGCGGACAUUUAAGUCAGGGGUGAAAUCCCAGAGCUCAACUCUGGAACUGCCUUUGAUACUGGGUGUCUUGAGUAUGGAAGAGGUGAGUGGAAUUCCGAGUGUAGAGGUGAGAUUCGUAGAUAUUCGGAGGAACACCAGUGGCGAAGGCGGCUCACUGGUCCAUUACUGACGCUGAGGUGCGAAAGCGUGGGGAGCAAACAGG
rnacentral:rRNA from 1 species